rnacentral:rRNA from 1 species
AACGAACGCUGGCGGCGCGUUUUAAGCAUGCAAGUCGAGCGGCAAGGGCCUCCGGGCCCCUAGAGCGGCGGACGGGUGAGUAACACGUGGACAAUCUGCCCCCCGGCCGGGGAUAGCCCAGGGAAACCUGGAUUAAUACCGGAUGAGACGGGACGCACGAUGGUGCGGUCCGGGAAAGGCGCUGCGGCGCCGCCGGGGGAUGAGUCCGCGACCCAUUAGCUGGACGGCGGGGUAAAGGCCCACCGUGGCGACGAUGGGUAGCCGGCCUGAGAGGGUGGACGGCCACAUUGGAACUGAGACACGGUCCAGACUCCUACGGGAGGCAGCAGCUAAGAAUCUUCCGCAAUGGGCGAAAGCCUGACGGAGCGACGCCGCGUGAACGAAGAAGGCCGUGAGGUUGUAAAGUUCUUUUCGGGAGGGGGAAUUACCGUGGCAGGGAAUGGCCGCGGGAUGACGUGAAUCCCGGAACAAGCCCCGGCUAACUACGUGCCAGCAGCCGCGGUAACACGUAGGGGGCGAGCGUUGUUCGGAAUCAUUGGGCGUAAAGGGCGUGCAGGCGGCACUGCAAGUCCGGCGUGAAAGACCCCGGCCCAACCGGGGGGGUGCGCUGGAAACUGCGGUGCUUGAGUACAGGAGGGGAUGCCGGAAUUCCAGGUGUAGGGGUGAAAUCUGUAGAUAUCUGGAAGAACACCGAUGGCGAAGGCAGGCAUCUGGCCAUGUACUGACGCUGAGACGCGAAAGUGCGGGGAGCAAACA